rnacentral:rRNA from 1 species
UACGUAGGGUGCGAGCGUUGUCCGGAAUUAUUGGGCGUAAAGAGCUCGUAGGCGGUGUGUCACGUCGGCCGUGAAAACCUGCAGCUUAACUGUGGGCGUGCGGUCGAUACGGGCAUCACUGGAGUUCGGCAGGGGAGACUGGAAUUCCUGGUGUAGCGGUGAAAUGCGCAGAUACCAGGAGGAACACCGGUGGCGAAGGCGGGUCUCUGGGCCGAUACUGACGCUGAGGAGCGAAAGCAUGGGUAGCGAACAGG